ensembl:lncRNA
GUGCAAUCAGUUCUUCUUACUACCUCUAUCUUACAGAUGAGGAGAUUGGUUCAUAAAGAAGUUAAGUAACUUGUCAAGGCCACACACCAUUUAGUUGGUGUACAGCAGGGAUCUGAAUCCAGGCAGUCUGGCUCACAACUAAGGAAUGGACAGUGAUGUGAGAGAGGAGAGGAUGGCCAGUUGGAAGAAGAACUAACUCUACAUUGUGACUUAGUAGUAGGAGGUGGCAGUGGUAAAGGAGAGAGAAGAAUCAGAGAUCUUGAAGAUUGUGACUGUGCUGGUGUAAAUAGUGCUGAAGAAAGCAAGGGUCUAUCUUUUGUCUGUGCUGCACACAGGACAGCAACUUAGAAGGGCUUGCCUUGCCACUUGUAUGGCAUUAAGAGAGCCCCUUGUAAUCCUGUCUCCCAACUUGAUCUGCACAGACUGAGGCUUCCCAGCCAGGUUUGGCACAAAUGUGUAAAAUGUGAAGACUUCACUGGAAUGUCACAGGGAUUAUGACCCUGCCUUUCCGACCUCCCGGGAAUAUUGUGACCAUCAAAUGAGAUAACGAGAGGCAGCUCAGCAGAGUGGGAAGCCAGAGGCUGGGGCCAAGUUGCACUCCCUGUCUCUGAACCCUUGUGGGAAAUCAGCUAAUGCCGGCAAGCCUCAGUUUUCCUACUGGUGAAAGGGAGUCGUUCUUCCAGGAAGUCACUGGAAGAAUGCAAUUUGAAAAUGGUUGAGCUCUUCACGAAUACAGUUGUUGCUAUGAUCAUAACUACGUGGCAGUGGGACAAUGGACUCUACACAGUGCAUAUUGUACAGGAUGGCUUAUAAUUCUGAAAGAAGACACACAGAUGACCAACAGACACAUGAAAAGAUGCUCAACAUCACUCAUCGUCAGGGAAAUGCAAAUCAAAACCACAAUGAAAUAUCGCCUUACAUCUAUCAGAAUGGCUAAAAUAAAAAAUGACAAGAAGUAACACGUGUUGGUGAGGAUGUAGAGAAAAAGAACCUUUCGUGCACUGUUGAUGGGAAUGUAAAUUGGUAUAAUCACCAUGGAAAACAAUAUGGAGAUUCCUUUAAAAAAGUAAAAAUAGGAAUACCAUAUGAUUCUAAUAAUUCCACUGCUGGGUAUUUACCUAAAGAAAAUGAAAACACUAAUUCAAAAAGAUAUAUGCACCCCUGUGUUUAUUGCAGCCGUAUUUACAGUACCCAAAAAAUGGAAGCAACCUAAGUAUCCAUCAGGAGAUUAAUGGGUAAAGAAAAUGUAUAUAUACACAAUGGAAUAUUAUACCAUGAUUAAAAAAAAAGUGAGAUCUUGCCAUUUGUGACAACAUUGAUAGAUCUAGAAGGUAUCAUGCUAAGUGAAAUAAGUCAGACUGAGAAAGACAAAUACAAUACGAUUUCACUCAUAUGUAGAGUCUAAAAAACAAAACAAAUGAAGAAACAGACAAACAAGAAGCAGAACCAGACCUAUAAAUACAGAGAACAACCUGAUGGUUGCAAGAGGGAUGGGGAUGGGUGAAGGAAGGAGGAACAGACUUCCAGUUACAGAAUUAAUAAAUCGUGGGAGUAGAAGGUACAGAAUAAGGAAUAUAGUCAAUGGUAUUGUAAUAGUG